CAGCAGUCGCCGCGGGAAUACGAAGGGUGCAAGCGUUAAUCGGAAUUACUGGGCGUAAAGCGUGCGUAGGCGGUUUGUUAAGUCUGUUGUGAAAUCCCCGGGCUCAACCUGGGAAUGGCAAUGGAUACUGGCAAGCUAGAGUGUGUCAGAGGAUGGUGGAAUUCCCGGUGUAGCGGUGAAAUGCGUAGAGAUCGGGAGGAACAUCAGUGGCGAAGGCGGCCAUCUGGGACAACACUGACGCUGAGGCACGAAAGCGUGGGGAGCAAACAGGAUUAGAUACCCGGGUAGUCCCUGUCUCUUAUAC
rnacentral:rRNA from 1 species